rnacentral:rRNA from 1 species
UCGGGAAUUUUGGGCAAUGGGCGAAAGCCUGAUCCAGCAAUGCCGCGUGAGUGAUGAAGGCCUUAGGGUCGUAAAGCUCUUUUACCCGGGAUGAUAAUGACAGUACCGGGAGAAUAAGCUCCGGCUAACUCCGUGCCAGCAGCCGCGGUAAUACGGAGGGAGCUAGCGUUGUUCGGAAUUACUGGGCGUAAAGCGUACGUAGGCGGUUAUUCAAGUCAGAGGUGAAAGCCCGGGGCUCAACCCCGGAACUGCCUUUGAAACUAGAUAGCUAGAAUCUUGGAGAGGUCAGUGGAAUUCCGAGUGUAGAGGUGAAAUUCGUAGAUAUUCGGAAGAACACCAGUGGCGAAGGCGACUGACUGGACAAGUAUUGACGCUGAGGUACGAAAGCGUGGGGAGCAAACAGGAUUAGAUACCCCAGUAGUCCCUGAGCGGGCUGGCAAGGCGCAU